AUGAUGUGGAUUAAUUCGAUGCAACGCGAAAACCUUACCUACCCUUGACAUGUUCAGAAUCCUGAAGAGAUUUGGGAGUGCCCGAAAGGGAGCUGGAACACAGGUGCUGCAUGGCUGUCGUCAGCUCGUGUCGUGAGAUGUUGGGUUAAGUCCCGCAACGAGCGCAACCCUUGUCGUUAAUUGCCAUCAUUAAGUUGGGGCACUUUAACGAGACUGCCGGUGACAAACCGGAGGAAGGUGGGGAUGACGUCAAGUCCUCAUGGCCCUUAUGGGUAGGGCUUCACACGUCAUACAAUGGUCGGUACAGAGGGUUGCCAAGCCGCGAGGUGGAGCCAAUCCCAGAAAGCCGAUCGUAGUCCGGAUUGUAGGCUGCAACCCGCCUGCAUGAAGAUGGAGUUGCUAGUAACCGCAGGUCAGCUAUACUGCGGUGAAUACGUUCCCGGGGCUU
rnacentral:rRNA from 1 species